rnacentral:rRNA from 1 species
AUUGAACGCUGGCGGCAGGCCUAACACAUGCAAGUCGAGCGGAUGACGGGAGCUUGCUCCUUGAUUCAGCGGCGGACGGGUGAGUAAUGCCUAGGAAUCUGCCUGGUAGUGAGGGACAACGUUUCGAAAGGAACGCUAAUACCGCAUACGUCCUACGGGAGAAAGCAGGGGACCUUCGGGCCUUGCGCUAUCAGAUGAGCCUAGGUCGGAUUAGCUAGUAGGUGAGGUAAUGGCUCACCUAGGCGACGAUCCGUAACUGGUCUGAGAGGAUGAUCAGUCACACUGGAACUGAGACACGGUCCAGACUCCUACGGGAGGCAGCAGUGGGGAAUAUUGGACAAUGGGCGAAAGCCUGAUUCAGCCAUGCCGCGUGUGUGAAGAAGGUCUUCGGAUUGUAAAGCACUUUAAGUCGGGAGGAAGGGUUGUACGUUAAUACCGUGCAAUUUUGACGUUACCGACAGAAUAAGCACCGGCUAACUCUGUGCCAGCCGCCGCAGUAA